GACGAACGCUGGCGGCGUGCCUAAUACAUGCAAGUAGAACGCACAGUUUAUACCGUAGCUUGCUACACCAUAGACUGUGAGUUGCGAACGGGUGAGUAACGCGUAGGUAACCUGCCUGGUAGCGGGGGAUAACUAUUGGAAACGAUAGCUAAUACCGCAUAAUAUUAAUUAUUGCAUGAUAAUUAAUUGAAAGGUGCAAUUGCACCACUACCAGCUGGACCUGCGUUGUAUUAGCUAGUAGGUGAGGUAACGGCUCACCUAGGCGACGAUACAUAGCCGACCUGGGAGGGUGAUCGGCCAAACUGGGACUGAGACACGGCCCAGACUCCUACGGGAGGCAGCAGUAGGGAAUCUUCGGCAAUGGACGAAAGUCUGACCGAGCAACGCCGCGUGAGGGAAGAAGGUUUUCGGAUCGUAAAGCUCUGUUGUAAGAGAAGAACGGGUGUGAGAGUGGAAAGUUCACACUGUGACGGUAUCUUACCAGAAAGGGACGGCUAACUACGUG
rnacentral:rRNA from 1 species